AUGGCUGUGGUGGAGACCGGGGCCCUGGAGACAUGGCAUUUGUAUGUAAGGUUUGAUGAAUAUCUACAAUGUACCGCACUGCUAGACAGAAGGAUAAAAGGUGUACCAGAUAAGUAAAUAGCCUGCCAUCAUGAAAGUGGGAAACACACGAAAUAAGCAGGAAACAUCACUGAUUCUCACAGCCUAGAGUACUUAGUGACUACUGCCUCUGACCAAAGCAGAAUUCUCUCCUCUGCUGUUUCUGACUUGUGCCAAUAUGAAGAACUCCUUGGAGCCUAUCAUCUCAUCAGCGCCAACUAUAGUCCAUGAUGAAGGUUUGGGAAUGAUGUAAGAUGCUAAGAUAUCUGCAGAACUAUAGAGGGUGGACAAUGAGGUGGUUGGCAUCAUUGUGGAAACUAGUGAAUGCGAACUUGUUUCAAAUCCAACGAACACCCCACUUUUCUGACACAGUGGCAGGAUAUAUUCUAUACCAGAUGAACUGAUUGAUACCCAAUGCAUAGAAGCCCCUGAUUAUCUAUGAAGUUCCCACCAGAAUGGAGAUUUGGCAAAGAGACAAUUAGCACCAGGGUGGUAGUGAUGAUGACUAAAAACAAGUAAAAAAAUAAUAACUGGUCUUUAAAUC
ensembl:antisense